rnacentral:rRNA from 1 species
GCGUGAGUGAUGAAGGCCUUAGGGUUGUAAAGCUCUUUUACCCGGGAAGAUAAUGACUGUACCGGGAGAAUAAGCUCCGGCUAACUCCGUGCCAGCAGCCGCGGUAAUACGGAGGGAGCUAGCGUUGUUCGGAAUUACUGGGCGUAAAGCGCACGUAGGCGGCCCUUUAAGUCAGAGGUGAAAGCCUGGAGCUCAACUCCAGAACUGCCUUUGAGACUGGGGGGCUUGAAUCCGGGAGAGGUGAGUGGAAUUCCGAGUGUAGAGGUGAAAUUCGU